AUCCCUCGUUGCCCGGCUGAAUCGAGAGUGCGGCGAUCUCGAAACCGAUCUCCUCCGCCUCCGGAAUAGGCUCUCCCUCGCCGCGUCCACAUGGCUCUCUCGCUCCGACGAGGUCCGAAGGACGCUACUCCUUCUCGAUCCCGGCUUCGAGGGUUCUAAUGCUCCCCCAUCUCGAGGUUCCCCGCGGCCACAACCCUAAUUCCCCAGCUCCUCCAUAUGGAGAGGUGGAAGCGGGAUUGCCGAGUGCUGGGAGAAUCUUGCAGGUGGAAUUACCUUUGCUUGCAAAGGAAGUUGGUCGGAUCCAGACGGUUCGUAGCUAUGCUGAGACUACACUAAAGCUGGAGG